CAAAAGAUAUUUUCUUUUUCUUCUUCACCCACCCAACACCAUUUUCUCCCUCCACCAUGAAAAAUCAAUUUCCUUUCAUUUUCUUUUCUUUGUUUUCAUUUCCUUUCCUUUCUUUUCUUACUUCUUUCUUCUCUUAACUUCUUAGGCAUCAAACAUGCAGCUUUUAACACCAUUUUUUAGCACACCAAACCCUAGGAGAGAGAAGGAAAAAUCUCUCUUUCUUUCCUUUAUUUUCUAUUUUUACUCCACCAUCACCAACACUUGAAUUUUCAACCUUAAAUCUCCAUUUUUAAGGCUAAAAGGUUUUUGUUGAUCUUUAUGCCUCCAAGCUCACCAAGGUUUUAAUGGUAUUUCGGGAUUACCUGAAUUAAGAUCUUGUGGGUGCUAGUCUUGUUAGGUGGCAUUGUUAAGAUUUGGAGGUAGUUGGGACCUAGGUCGAAGAGUUCAUUUGUAUUCACCAUUUGGUAGGUACCAUGGCAUCCAGUAACAGUACCCACGCCCAAAGUCACUCCGCUAAUAGUCAAGGUCUCUUACAUGUGUAUAUAGUUAUUUAAAUGUAAAUUAUGAGAUUGUUGCACACUCUGUACAUUUGAUUUGAUUAACCAUGUUUGUUGCACACUCUGUACAUUUGAUUUGAUUAACCAUGUUGUUUAGGGUUUACGAAUGAUAACCCUAAUUUGAGAACAUUAUAUAUA